GCCGCUGUGGCGGAAUUGGUAGACGCGCUGGAUUCAAAAUCCAGUGACAGCGAUGUCGUGUGGGUUCGAUUCCCACCGGCGGUA
rnacentral:tRNA from 1 species